rnacentral:lncRNA from 1 species
UUUUAUUUAAACAAUUUGAUUAUAUAUUAUUUGAAAGAACUACUUUUGAUAUCUUUGAAUUUGAAAAAUUAUGUUACAGAUUACACUAUUAAUUUUUUGUUGAUGUUGUUGAUUACUGUUUUUUUUUCAUAUAUUCGAAUUUAAAAUUAUAUAAAGUUUGUAUUUUUUUUAUUUAAAAAUGUAAUUAAAUGAACUAGUGAGCCAACCCGUUUACCCACCAACCCGUGGUAGGUCGGGUUCAAGUUUUCCUGACUCGCUAAUAAAUGAGCCGGAUUGGAUUGACUCACUAAAUGACCAACCCACAGUGGACCGAACCGGGUCGGGCUGGAUUACCCAUUUUGAUAGCUCUACUUUUCAUGCAAUGUGUCCCCUUCUUUCUUUUUCUUCUGAUUAUUUUACUCUUCCAAUUAUUGUACGACAUUUCUUUCUUCCUCUUUUUUUUUUCCAUUUUUUUCUUCCUUUUUUCCAUUUCAUGCCAAAGAAAUCGUCAACGUCCCCAUUUAUCAACAUAUUUAGGAAACACUAAACUCAAACUUAUCCUCAAACCACUCUCCAAAACCAUUCCAAAACUCCUUUAAUCUUUAUAAUUAAGAUAUA